GUGCUCGCUUCGGCAGCACAUAUACUAAAGUUGGAACGAUACAGAGAAGAUAAGCAUGGCCUUGCACAAGGAUGACAUGCAAAUUCGUGAAGCCUUCCAUAUUUUU
rnacentral:snRNA from 1 species